rnacentral:rRNA from 1 species
UACAGAGGUCUCGAGCGUUGUUCGGAUUCAUUGGGCGUAAAGGGUGCGUAGGUGGCUUGGUCAGUCGGAUGUGAAAUCCCGGGGCUCAACCCUGGAACUGCAUUCGAUACUGCCGUGCUUGAGGACUGGAGAGGAGACUGGAAUUUACGGUGUAGCGGUGAAAUGCGUAGAUAUCGUAAGGAAGACCAGUGGCGAAGGCGGGUCUCUGGACAGUUCCUGACGCUGAAGCACGAAGGCCAGGGGAGCAAACGGG